rnacentral:rRNA from 1 species
GGGAUACGCAAACUUCUCAACAGGCCGUACCAAUAUCCGCAGCUGGUCUCCAAGGUGAAGAGUCUCUAGUCGAUAGAAUAAUGUAGGUAAGGGAAGUCGGCAAAUUAGAUCCGUAACUUCGGGAUAAGGAUUGGCUCUGAAGAUUGAGAUAGUCGGGCUUGAUUGGGAAACAAUAAUAUGGUUUAUGUGCUCGUUCUGGGUAAAUAGAGUUAUAAUCAUUUAUGGUUGUAACUUGUUCCCCGGAUAGUUUAGUUACGUAUCCAAUUGUGGAACUUUCUUGCUAAAAUUUUUAAGAAUACUAGUUGGGUCAAACCAAUUAGUUCUUAUUAAUUAUAACGAUUAUCAAUUAACAAUCAAUUCAGAACUGGCACGGACUUGGGGAAUCCGACUGUCUAAUUAAAACAAAGCAUUGUGAUGGCCCUAGCGGGUGUUGACACAAUGUGAUUUCUGCCCAGUGCUCUGAAUGUCAAAGUGAAGAAAUUCAAGUAAGCGCGGGUCAACGGCGGGAGUAACUAUGACUCUCUUAAGGUAGCCAAAUGCCUCGUCAUCUAAUUAGUGACGCGCAUGAAUGGAUUAACGAGAUUCCUUCUGUCCCUAUCUACUAUCUAGCGAAACCACAGCCAAGGGAACGGGCUUGGAAUAAUUAGCGGGGAAAGAAGACCCUUUUGAGCUUGACUCUAAUCUGGCAGUGUAAGGAGACAUAAGAGGUGUAGAAUAAGUGGGAGAUAUUAGACUUCGGUUUGGUAUCGACAAUGAAAUACCACUACUCUUAUUGUUUCCUUACUUACUUGAUUAAAUGGAACGUGUAUCAUUUCCUAGCCAUUAUACGGAUAUAUUUAUUAUAUCUUAUGGUAUUGGGUUUUGAUGCAAGCUUCUUGAUCAAAGUAUCACGAGUUUGUUAUAUAAUCGCAAACAAAUUCUUUAAUGAGAGAUGCAUUCAUGUAUUAUCGAUUUGAAAAUUUGGUAUAACUCCAAUUACUCAGGUAUGAUCCAAUUCAAGGACAUUGCCAGGUAGGGAGUUUGACUGGGGCGGUACAUCUCUCAAAUAAUAACGGAGGUGUCCCAAGGCCAGCUCAGUGCGGACAGAAACCACACAUAGAGCAAAAGGGCAAAUGCUGACUUGAUCUCGGUGUUCAGUACACACAGGGACAGCAAAAGCUCGGCCUAUCGAUCCUUUUGGUUUAAAGAGUUUUUAACAAGAGGUGUCAGAAAAGUUACCAUAGGGAUAACUGGCU